AUGCAACAUCUUUUGCUCAUAGCUUUUCUUUCUGCUUCUCUGUUCCUUCCUUACCCUCCUUGUGUCAGAGGGGCUGAUCUGAACUCUGACAAGCAAGCCCUUCUUGCAUUUGCUUCAUCCCUGCCUCGUGCAAGAAAGAUCAACUGGACCCUCACAACGCAGGUCUGCACAUCUUGGGUUGGGGUUACAUGCACACCAGAUGGGAAGCGUGUGCGUAUGCUGCGACUACCCGCAGUAGGACUAUUUGGUCCUAUGCCCUCCAACAUACUUGGCAAGCUUGAUGCCUUAGAGGUGUUAAGCCUUCGGUCCAAUCGUCUUACUGUUAGCCUACCCCCUGAUGUAGCAUCCAUUCCUUCUCUGCACUCUCUUUACCUUCAGCGCAACAACUUGUCGGGCAUAAUACCUACAUCACUGUCCUCAAAUCUAGCAUACCUCGACCUGUCGUACAACUCAUUUGUUGGAGAAAUCCCAUUGAAAGUGCAAAAUAUGACUGAGCUUACUGGGUUGUCUCUCCAGAACAACUCUCUUUCUGGACCCAUCCCUGAUCUUCACCUCCCCAAACUGAGAUAUUUGAACUUGAGCUACAAUAACCUCAGUGGGCCCAUUCCGGCUUCUCUGCAGAAGUUUCCAGCCAGUUCUUUCUUGGGGAAUGCUUUUGUAUGUGGGUUUCCCCUGGAACCAUGUCCAGGAACCACACCUUCUCCUUCUCCGAAUGCACCACCUUCCCAGGAAAGCAAUUUGGAAAAGUUUUGGAGAAAGCAUCACAAAAUUAUCAUAAUUGCAAUACUUGCUGGAGGAGCUGCAAUAUUGUUGAUUUUGAUUAUCAUACUCGUGAUAUGCAUCUGCAAGAGAAAGAGAGACGGAGAGCCUCGCGCAGCUUCAUCCUCAUCCAAAGGGAAGGGUGUUGCGGGUGGAAGAGGAGAAAAAUCCAAGCCAGAAUACAGCAGUGGUGUUCAAGAAGCAGAGAGGAACAAAUUAGUUUUCUUUGAGGGCUGUUCAUAUAAUUUCGACUUGGAGGAUCUGUUGAGGGCUUCAGCUGAAGUCCUUGGGAAAGGAAGCUACGGCACGACCUACAAAGCUGUUCUUGAGGAUGGCACGACAGUGGUGGUCAAGAGGCUGAAGGAGGUGGUGGCGGGAAAGAAGGAAUUCGAACAGCAAAUGGAGAUAAUUGACAGGCUUGGCCAGCACCAGGGUGUUGUUCCCUUGCGUGCUUUCUAUUACUCCAAGGAUGAGAAGCUCUUGGUCUAUGACUAUGUUACACCGGGUAGCCUUUCAGCUGCUUUGCAUGGGAACAAAUCUGCUGGAAGAGCACCACUGGACUGGGAGACGAGAGUGAAGAUAUCGCUCGGCGCCGCAAGAGCGAUCGCUCAUCUUCACACCGGAGCAGGCGGCAAGUUCAUCCACGGCAACAUAAAGUCGAACAACAUCAUCCUCUCGCGGGAGCUGAACGCGUGCGUCUCGGACUUCGGCCUUGCGCAGCUCAUGGCCACCCCUCACUUCCACCCGCGGCUCGUCGGGUACCGCGCGCCGGAGGUCCUGGAGGCCAAGAAGCCGACGCAAAAGUCCGACGUGUACAGCUUCGGCGUGCUGCUCCUGGAGAUGCUGACCGGGAAGGCCCCCCUCCGGUCCCCCGGCCGCGACGACUCCAUCGAGCACCUCCCGAGGUGGGUGCAGUCCGUGGUCCGGGAGGAGUGGACGUCGGAGGUCUUCGACGUCGACCUGCAGAGGCACCCCAACACCGAGGACGAGAUGGUGCAGCUGCUCCAAGUCGCCAUGGCGUGCGUCGCCGUUCAUCCGGACCAGCGGCCGAGGAUGGAGCAGGUCGUCAGGAGGAUCGAGGAGAUCCGGAGCUCCGGCUCCGGGACGACGACGAGGACGUCUCCCGAGGACAAGCCGAGGGAAGAGCACAUCCAGAUCACCUGA
rnacentral:rRNA from 1 species